rnacentral:lncRNA from 1 species
AUGCAUCUGGGAGGCUCAGACCCACCACCCCCAGGGAUCCUCCUGGUGCAGCAGCCUCCGGAGCAGAAAGAACAAGAAGCUCCAAAAGCCUGUAGGUCUCGAUGCAAUCCUUCUGGACUUUUGGACUGCGCUCACAAGGCCAGAGCUGGACCCUGUGGUUUCCUCCAGCUGAAUGGAUUCACGGCUGCUCCUGCUCUCUGCACCAAGCGAGGAAAAAUAUCUGUCAUGGCUUAUCUAUCAGGCAAUGAAUGUGUUUGGGGUGGAAAGUUGAGGUCUGUUGCUUGUACUGAUGGCACAGUUACAGCCUGGAAUGUGCAAGAGGGUGAGCAGAGGCGGUCAGGCUCCUUGCAGGCAGUACCACAUCCGAAAGCCAUCACAGCCCCAGCACGGGCUCACGACGGCUGCUUGCAGAGCCUGGCAGGGGCAAUCUGGGCAACAGCUCGCUGCUUUUCCACAUCGCCGCUUUCACGCUGCUCAACUACUCACUCAGUAAACAAGGAGCUUUUCCUAUCUCUUCUGCAGGAGGAACCACUUGUGCACUGA